rnacentral:rRNA from 1 species
GACGAACGCUGGCGGCGUGCCUAAUACAUGCAAGUAGAACGCUGAAGGAGGAGCUUGCUUCUCUGGAUGAGUUGCGAACGGGUGAGUAACGCGUAGGUAACCUGCCUGGUAGCGGGGGAUAACUAUUGGAAACGAUAGCUAAUACCGCAUAAUAUUGACUAUUGCAUGAUAGUCAGUUGAAAGGUGCAACUGCACCACUACCAGAUGGACCUGCGUUGUAUUAGCUAGUUGGUGGGGUAACGGCUCACCAAGGCGACGAUACAUAGCCGACCUGAGAGGGUGAUCGGCCACACUGGGACUGAGACACGGCACAGACUCCUACGGGAGGCAGCAGUAGGGAAUCUUCGGCAAUGGACGGAAGUCUGACCGAGCAACGCCGCGUGAGUGAAGAAGGUUGUCGGAUCGUAAAGCUCUGUUGUAAGAGAAGAACGAGUGUGAGAGUGGAAAGCUCACACUGUGACGGUAUCUUACCAGAAAGGGACGGCUAACUACGUG